rnacentral:rRNA from 1 species
UACGAAGGGGGCUAGCGUUGCUCGGAAUCACUGGGCGUAAAGGGUGCGUAGGCGGGUCUUUAAGUCAGGGGUGAAAUCCUGGAGCUCAACUCCAGAACUGCCUUUGAUACUGAAGAUCUUGAGUUCGGGAGAGGUGAGUGGAACUGCGAGUGUAGAGGUGAAAUUCGUAGAUAUUCGCAAGAACACCAGUGGCGAAGGCGGCUCACUGACCCGAUACUGACGCUGAGGCACGAAAGCCAGGGGAGCAAACGGG